GCCCGGGUGGCUCAGUCGGUUGAGCAUCUGAUUUUCGCUCAGGUCACGAUCUCACAGUUUGCGGGCUCGAACCCUGCGUUGGGCU
rfam:Felis catus isolate Cinnamon breed Abyssinian chromosome D2, whole genome shotgun sequence.